rnacentral:lncRNA from 1 species
CGUUCCGUUAGUGAAAAUGGGAUUUGUAACGGAAAUAGAUNAAAACGGGAUUUGUAACGGGAAUAGAUUUGGGGUUGUCACAUCUCAGGAGGAGCCAACCGAUACAGUGCCUUGGCUAUCGAAGCCACACCAGGAACGAGGUCAAUCCUGAACUCCACCUGUCUCUCAGGAGGUAUCCCAGGAAGUUCCUCUGGGAAAACAUCUACGAAAUCUCGCACUACCAGAACCUCGCUCACUGUCGCCUCACCCGCCUCCCGGGUAUCCAUCACGUACGCAACAUACCCUGCGCAUCCCUGCUGAAGGUAGCAUCUAGCCCUCGCUGCUGAACAUACUGUGGGUCCACACUGUGGCCUCUCGCAAUGAAUCACUAACUCUCCCCCACCUGGGGUCCUGACCCGCACUAGCUGUUGCGCACAGUCUAUCACCGCCUCAUUA